rnacentral:rRNA from 1 species
ACUCCUACGGGAGGCAGCAGUGGGGAAUAUUGCACAAUGGGCGCAAGCCUGAUGCAGCCAUGCCGCCGUGUGUGAGAAGGCAGCUUCGGGUUGUAAAGCACUUUCAGUCGUGAGGAAGGUAGUGUAGUUAAUAGCUGCAUUAUUUGACGUUAGCGACAGAAGAAGCACCGGCUAACUCCGUGCCAGCAGCCGCGGUAAUACGGAGGGUGCGAGCGUUAAUCGGAAUUACUGGGCGUAAAGCGCAUGCAGGUGGUUUGUUAAGUCAGAUGUGAAAGCCCGGGGCUCAACCUCGGAAUUGCAUUUGAAACUGGCAGACUAGAGUACUGUAGAGGGGGGUAGAAUUUCAGGUGUAGCGGUGAAAUGCGUAGAGAUCUGAAGGAAUACCGGUGGCGAAGGCGGCCCCCUGGACAGAUACUGACACUCAGAUGCGAAAGCGUGGGGAGCAAACAGGAUUAGAUACCCUGGUAGCUCGAUGU